CCCUUAGAUGUUCUGGGCCGCACGCGUGCUACACUGAGUGGAUCAGCGGGUCAGGUUACGCGAGAGCGUUUCCUAAUCUUCAAAUCCGCUCGUGAUGGGGAUUGACGGUUGCAAUUUUCCGUCAUGAACGAGGAAUACCUUGUAAGCGCGGGUCAUCAUCCCGCGCUGAAUACGUCCCUGCCCUUUGUACACACCGCCCGUCGCUCCUACCGAUUGAGUGGUCCGGUGAGGCUUUGGGAUCUAAGCGAGAAGAGCGUUUCGCUCCUUUUGCUGGGAGAACUCAGUCGAACCUUAUCAUUUAGAGGAAGGAGAAGUCGUAACA
rnacentral:rRNA from 1 species